AUUGAACGCUGGCGGCAGGCCUAACGCAUGCAAGUCGAGCGGAUGAGUGGAGCUUGCUCCAUGAUUCAGCGGCGGACGGGUGAGUAAUGCCUAGGAAUCUGCCUGGUAGUGGGGGACAACGUUUCGAAAGGAACGCUAAUACCGCAUACGUCCUACGGGAGAAAGUGGGGGAUCUUCGGACCUCACGCUAUCAGAUGAGCCUAGGUCGGAUUAGCUAGUUGGUGAGGUAAAGGCUCACCAAGGCGACGAUCCGUAACUGGUCUGAGAGGAUGAUCAGUCACACUGGAACUGAGACACGGUCCAGACUCCUACGGGAGGCAGCAGUGGGGAAUAUUGGACAAUGGGCGAAAGCCUGAUCCAGCCAUGCCGCGUGUGUGAAGAAGGUCUUCGGAUUGUAAAGCACUUUAAGUUGGGAGGAAGGGCAGUAAGUUAAUACCUUGCUGUUUUGACGUUACCAACAGAAUAAGCACCGGCUAACUUCGUG
rnacentral:rRNA from 1 species